UACGGAGGGUGCAAGCGUUGUCCGGAUUUAUUGGGUUUAAAGGGUGCGUAGGUGGCCCGUUAAGUCCGGGGUGAAAGCCCACUGCUCAACAGUGGAACUGCCCUGGAUACUGGCGGGCUUGAGUCCAGACGAGGUUGGCGGAAUGGAUGGUGUAGCGGUGAAAUGCAUAGAUAGCAUCCAGAACCCCGAUUGCGUAGGCAGCUGACUAGGCUGGUACUGACACUGAGGCACGAAAGCGUGGGGAGCGAACAGG
rnacentral:rRNA from 1 species